GCUCACCAUAAAGUCCCUUCGGCAGCUGCGCCUACAUGCCCAAAUGACAACCAAUGAACUUGUCAGAUCUUGCACAUUUGGUGCAGAAGUGCAGCAUGAGUACGUAAAUCAGUGUGUGUUUAGUAAGUAUCUAGCCUAACACCGAAGAGAUAAUGACGAGUGGGCAACUUGAAACUUACUAGUGGUCUAGUAAAUCAAAUAUAAUAAAGUAGACAAGUAUGAAAUAUGGUGAAUAAAUAAUGAGUACAGAUAUAGGCAAACAAUACGGUCUACAGCUGAACAAUGAACACAAAGUCCUCAAUUAUUGGAUACCUCUUUAAAUGGAAUAUGUUAUGGUCAAUACCAAAUCAACGAUCACAUAUCAAGUCAAGAAACUCAUGAGUACGCGGGCUCCUUAUCAGGUAUUUCGCACGAUUCUGCCAAGGCGAGCGGCCCGAUCCCAGAAGUGUUUCACAGAACUGCCGAGGACAGUCCGAUCCCAUAAGAGUGUGAUACAAACCCUGUCGAGGUGAACGGUCCGAUCCCAUAAGAAUAUGAUACAU
rnacentral:lncRNA from 1 species